GGGAUGAGAGCUAUGUGAGAGUAUUGAGCCUUGAAAUGUCUAUUGAUCCAUUGUGGAUAACUUUGAAGAAGUUGUAGAGAUCUGGUUUUAGUAGCUCCCAAAAAUUUUGGUAGAAGCUGUUUGCAAAACCAUCAAGAUCGGGUGCCGUAUCCUUUGCCAGCCCAAAUACUGCUUAUUUGAUCUCAUCCUCUGUAAAUGGAUC
rnacentral:lncRNA from 1 species